rnacentral:tRNA from 1 species
GGGGGCUUAGCUCAGAUGGGAGAGCGCCUGCUUUGCACGCAGGAGGUCAGUGGUUCGAUCCCGCUAGUCUCCACCA